rnacentral:rRNA from 1 species
GACGAACGCUGGCGGCGUGCCUAAUACAUGCAAGUCGAACGCAGUGGGGACGGGUGAGUAACACGUGGGUAACCUCCCAUCAGAGGGGAUAACACUUGGAAACCGGUGCUAAACCGAUACUGAUGGAUGAACCCGCGGUGCAUUGGCUAGUUGGUGGGGUAACGGCUCACCAAGGCCACGAUGCAUAGCCGAGCUGGGAGGGGGAUCGGGCAAACCGGGACUGAGACACGGCCCAGACUCCUAAGGGAGGCAGCAGUAGGGAAUCUUUGGCAAUGGACGAAAGUCUGAACGAGCAACGCCGCGGGAGGGAAGAAGGUGUUCGGAGCGUAAAGCUCUGUUGUUAGAGAAGCGGUACCUACCCAGAAAGGGACGGCUAACUACGUGCCAGCAGCCGCGGUAAUAC